rnacentral:rRNA from 1 species
AAACCAACAGGGAUUGCCUUAGUAACGGCGAGUGAAGCGGCAAAAGCUCAAAUUUGAAAUCUGGCACCUUCGGUGUCCGAGUUGUAAUUUGAAGAAGGUAACUUUGGAGUCAGCUCUUGUCUAUGUUCCUUGGAACAGGACGUCACAGAGGGUGAGAAUCCCGUGCGAUGAGAUGUCUGAUUCUAUGUAAAGUGCUUUCGAAGAGUCGAGUUGUUUGGGAAUGCAGCUCUAAGUGGGUGGUAAAUUCCAUCUAAAGCUAAAUAUUGGCGAGAGACCGAUAGCGAACAAGUACAGUGAUGGAAAGAUGAAAAGAACUUUGAAAAGAGAGUGAAAAAGUACGUGAAAUUGUUGAAAGGGAAGGGUUUGAGAUCAGACUUGGUAUUUUGUAUGUCUUGCUUUCGGGUGGGGCCUCUACAGUUUACUGGGCCAGCAUCGGUUUGGAUGGUAGGAUAAUGACAUUGGAAUGUGGCACCACUUCGGUGGUGUGUUAUAGACUUUGUUGAUACUGCCUGUCUAGACCGAGGACUGCGUCUUUGACUAGGAUGCUGGCAUAAUGAUCCUAAACCGC